GUGCUUUUAAUUUUAACUAAGGAAAAGAAUAUAUAGAGUAGUACCUUUUGUAUCAGGGUUGCCUAAUAAAGAAAAUAAUUUAUAUUUCUCGAUAUUAACUGAGUUAAAUAAAAUACUAUGUGUUAAAUAAUUAUGUGAAUUUAUUUAGUAAUGAAAAUUUUUCGAAGUUGAAUAUAUCUAGUUAGUAACGCUAAUUAAUAGGAGGGGUAAGCUUCUUAUUUAAAUAUAUUUUAUUAUUUAUGUAAUAAAUUAGGCUUAAAAUUAGCUAUAUUAAGAGUUUGUUUUAAAUCUUUUAUUCUAUAUAUGAAGUAAUUAAUUUUUGUGUAUAAUUAAAAUAUAUAUAAGUAUUUUAUCUAUAAUGGGUAAAUUAGUAUUUAUAUUUUUCUGUAAUAUAUGACUUGAAAACUGUGGAAUGGUUUAUCAAAAACAUUUUUUUAUGUAUAUAAAGUAAGGCCUGCCCAGUGUAAUAUAAACGGCUGCGGUAUUUUGACUGUGCUAAGGUAGCAUAAUAAUUUGUUCUUUAAUUGAGAACUGGGAUGAAAGGUUUUAUCUACAGUAUAUUUAACUUAUAGAGCAAAUAAUUUAUAUUUACGGUAAAAAUACUGUAAUUAAAUGAAGUGACGAUAAGACCCUAUAAGCUUUAUAUUUAGAAUGAAUAUUUCAAAAAUUUAGAGUUAUUUUUAUUUUAUUGAUUUUGCUGGGGCAGUAAUGUUAUAUAAUUUAAUAUAUUUUUUAACAUAGUUAAAUGAAUAAAUGAUCUUCUUAUAGAGAUAAGUAGUGUAAGUUACUGUAGGGAUAACAGCGCGAUAAUUCUGAAGAGGCCUUAUUGAUGGAAUUGAUUGCGACCUCGAUGUUGAAUUAAGAUUUCUUUUUGUCGCAGCAGGCAUAACAGAGGGUUUGUUCAACCUUUAAAUUUUUACAUGAUUUGAGUUCAAAUCGGUUUAAGCCAGAUUGGUUUCUAUCUUUUAUAUAUUAUAAUUUAUAUAAGUACGAAAGGGACAUAUAAAUUUU
rnacentral:rRNA from 1 species